rnacentral:misc_RNA from 1 species
GUGAAUCAUCGAAUUUUUGAACGCAAAUUGCACUCUCUGGUAUUCCGGGGAGUAUGCCUGUUUGAGGGUCAGUUUAAAUAAAAAUCGGUGUGGUUGCUGCCUUUCGUGGUGACGCACCGGGCUUGGUUCUGCUUGCUUUCGGUUAAGUGACCUAACAAUUUGCAUGAUUUUUUUCGCCCGUAUUUAUAUGUUUAUACGUACGAUUUCGAUA